rnacentral:misc_RNA from 1 species
AACGCACAUUGCGCCCUUUGGUAUUCCAAAGGGCAUGCCUGUUCGAGCGUCAUUUGUACCCUCAAGCUUUGCUUGGUGUUGGGCGUUUUUUUGUCUUUGGUUAUGCCAAAGACUCGCCUUAAAACGAUUGGCAGCCGGCCUCCUGGUUUCGCAGCGCAGCACAUUUUUGCGCUUGCAAUCAGCAAUAGAGGGCGGCACUCCAUCAAGACACUUUUUUUCACGUUUGACCUCGGAUCAGGUAGGGAUACCCGCUGAACUUAA